UACGUAGGGCGCAAGCGUUGUCCGGAAUUAUUGGGCGUAAAGAGCUCGUAGGCGGCUUGUCACGUCGAUUGUGAAAGCCCGAGGCUUAACCUCGGGUCUGCAGUCGAUACGGGCUAGCUAGAGUGUGGUUGGGGAGAUCGGAAUUCCUGGUGUAGCGGUGAAAUGCGCAGAUAUCAGGAGGAACACCGGUGGCGAAGGCGGAUCUCUGGGCCAUUACUGACGCUGAGGAGCGAAAGCGUGGGGAGCGAACAGG
rnacentral:rRNA from 1 species